GUGACAGGUGCUGCAUGGCUGUCGUCAGCUCGUGUCGUGAGAUGUUCGGUUAAGUCCGGCAACGAGCGCAACCCACAUCCCUAGUUGCCAGCAGUUCGGCUGGGCACUCUAUGGAGACUGCCCGUGAUAAGCGGGAGGAAGGUGUGGAUGACGUCAAGUCCUCAUGGCCCUUACGGGUUGGGCUACACACGUGCUACAAUGGUAGUGACAAUGGGUUAAUCCCAAAAAGCUAUCUCAGUUCGGAUUGUCGUCUGCAACUCGACGGCAUGAAGUCGGAAUCGCUAGUAAUCGCGUAACAGCAUGACGCGGUGAAUACGUUCCCGGGCCUUGUACACACCGCCCGUCACACCAUGGGAGUUGGUUCUACCCGACGGCCGUGCGCUAACCUUUUGGAGGCAGCGGACCACGGUAGGAUCAGCGACUGGGGUGAAGUCGUAACAAGGUAGCCUA
rnacentral:rRNA from 1 species